GUGCUCACUUUGGCAACACAUAUACUAAAAUUGGAACAACACAGAGAAGAUUAGCAUGGCCCCUACACAGUGAUGACAUGCAAAUUCAUGAAGCAUUCCAUAUUUUU